rnacentral:rRNA from 1 species
AUUGAACGCUGGCGGCAUGCCUUACGCAUGCAAGUCGAACGGCAGCACGGGAGCAAUCCUGGUGGCGAGUGGCGAACGGGUGAGUAAAGUAUCGGAACGUGCCCAGUCGUGGGGGAUAACGUAGCGAAAGUUACGCUAAUACCGCAUACGAUCUAUGGAUGAAAGCGGGGGAUCGCAAGACCUCGCGCGAUUGGAGCGGCCGAUAUCAGAUUAGGUAGUUGGUGGGGUAAAGGCCCACCAAGCCGACGAUCUGUAGCUGGUCUGAGAGGACGACCAGCCACACUGGGACUGGGACACGGCCCAGACUCCUACGGGAGGCAGCAGUGGGGAAUUUUGGACAAUGGGCGAAAGCCUGAUCCAGCCAUGCCGCGUGCAGGAUGAAGGCCUUCGGGUUGUAAACUGCUUUUGUACGGAACGAAAAGGACUGCCCUAAUACGGUGGUCCCAUGACGGUACCGUAAGAAUAAGCACCAGCUAACUACGUGCCAGCAGCCGCCGUAACAC